AUCCCCACAACAACGAUUCCCAUCAGUAUAAAGAACUCUGAAGCUGAAUUUUCUUUCUUACAGUGGAAACAAUGAAGUGAUAAAUCUUUUCUUUCAGUUUCCCUGAUUUUGACUCCUCCACGAGCUUCACUGACUCAUAAACUGGAUUCUCCCAUGUGCAGGUCCCAUCCUGAGCCUUAGUCUUCGGCAGUUUCACCGUCGGCUUCCCCACGUCGUCGGGCACCAGAGAUAUCAUCAACCCAGGCUUCUUCAAUUUCGGCACCUGAAAAAACAAAUGUUGGAAGCAAUUCCAGGUAUGAAUGAACAACACUAGAUCACAUUACAGCUCAAUAUCACAAAACCCAUUAUCACUAUUCGAUUGCUAAACUGAUACAUACCUCUGUUGCCUGAAACUGCAAUUGGAAUACAGCCUUUAUCUUCUUCUUCUUGCUCCAUGUCCUGAACAUGUUUCACAGUCCUAGAGUUUCAGAUCUCAGACACACUCCUCUACUCUCCAACAGUCUGACUUUCUCUGGGUUUCUUUAUAAAAGAAAUGAGUCUAACAUGGUCAGAACCAAGUAAGGUAUUUCUGAAACACUGUGAAUAUUCUGAAAGCAACUAAAGGGGCUCUGUGGUAGCUGUUAAACCUCCACAUCUAGCUGUAAGCACUUAGGUACUGCAUAAAACUAGUCUCCUAGAAUCAGAAACAGAUCGAAAUAUAGAAAAACAAAAUUUGGUGUUACAGAAAAAACACAAUAAGAAGCUUCGCUGUAAUGGAACAUUGGGAUAGAUCUCUGAAACGCAUUACCGCUAUGUUUUUGCUUUCGAAAAGGGCAUGAUGAUUGAUGCCACUCGGAUGACGUAAAUACCCCUGAUCCUCUAAGGGAAAGGUAUCUUCCUUCAAGAGCACCAAAUCCAAUCUUUUAUGACCUGUCUAACGAGGAACCCUUUUCCAUGAGAAAAUUAAAUUUGGUUUCUCGUUUGAAUUUAUGUUACUUAAAUUUAUUUGAAUUUUUUAUAAUUAUUAGAUUAAGUGUAAUCUAAGGUCAUCACGUCAUCCUUACUCAUAAAACGUCCGAACAAAUCUAAACAACAUAAAUAAAAAAUAAAACGGAAUUAAAGAAAUCUCAUGAAAGUGAAAACUUAAUUUAACCAAAACUGUAGGUGUGAUAGACUAAUCAUAAAGUGGGGUUUUGCUUUUGCACCACCAGAGGUUGAUAGGUCACCUUGGAAAAUUUGAUGGCCCCAAAACAGAAAAUUUCUACGGCUUUGUUUUAGAGCACUGGGGAAAAGACAUUGCCUUUGUGCAUAAAGGGUUCUAUUAUUACCCGAGUGCCUUGUCGGUUGUGCUUUUUGAACAAGAAUUAUAGUUGAGGAAUCAGUAUGCCAGUAGAUAUAAAACAAUGAAAAUAAUGGAGGAAACCCAUGGCAUUUCUGGGUUUUUAUUUCUCCGAGUACAAGAAAAUUUGGACUUCGGGUGUCAUUCAACACGUGCGUGGUCUGGGAUAAGGGCUGGACAUCACGUGGUUUGCGUCGAGUCUUAUAUUUGUUUGGUCAAGUGUCUAUCUUCUUGUAUUUGAUGCUGAUCACAAAUUAGAUUCCAACAGUUUCUGGGUUCUUAGUUUUGACUUCUUACCAUGUUUCAGGUUGUUAGAGCAAAAGUGAUUCUUACAAGAGAAGUGCACAAGUGGCAUACCAGUUUUUUAGAAUGAUUGUUUCUUAUAGCUCUUGAAGUUUCUACGUGCCAUAUCAUUGUUACCGGUAGCACAUACAAAUCAAGGCAUGAAUGCUGCUUAAUUGUUAGUUAGGUGGCUCUGCUUCAGUGUGCAUAUAAAUGGUCCAAACCUCCUUGUGACGUUAGUUAGAUUUUAGUGAACCACGUAUCUCCGGCAAUAGAUUUCUCAGAUAAGAGAAAACUCCCUUUUCUGGUCCAGAACAAUUACUCCAUUUUGUGUCGAGGCCAAGGGAAGACAAGAUAGAGCAAACCAAAUGAAAGUUGAACUCUUACUCCUCUGGUUCAGAAAGCUGUCUUUGUCAAUCUUAAGUAGCACUUACGUGUAACAUUUGCUGAAAGGAAUAGCAGAACUGAAUGGCCAAGGUAGCUUCACUUGUUGAAUCGCUAUAUAUGCUUUUGAGGGUUUGAGACAGAAAAUAAUGAGAAUGUGUAUAAACAAUUAGUGAAGUUUGUAACCCACACUAUUGUGGACAUUGUAAAGAACAGAAUGAGGGCCUGAGGCAAAAACAUCUAGGAAU
rnacentral:lncRNA from 1 species